rnacentral:rRNA from 1 species
GACGAACGCUGGCGGCGUGCUUAACACAUGCAAGUCGAACGGAAAGGCCCUGCUUUUGUGGGGUGCUCGAGUGGCGAACGGGUGAGUAACACGUGAGUAACCUGCCCUUGACUUUGGGAUAACUUCAGGAAACAGGGGCUAAUACAGGAUAGGAGCUCCUGAUGCAUGGUGGGGGUUGGAGAGAUUCGGCGGUUGGGGCUGGUCUGGCGGCUUAUCAGCUGGUUGGUGGGGUAGUGGAUUACCAAGGCUUUGACGGGUAGCCGGCCUGAGAGGGUUGCCGGCCACAUUGGGACUGAGAUAGGCCCCAGACUCCUACGGGAGGCAGCAGUGGGGAAUAUUGCACAAUGGGCGGAAGCCUGAUGCAGCAACGCCGCGUGCGUGAAGACGGCCUUCGGGUUGUAAACCGCUUUCGCCGGUGACGAAGCGUGAGUGACGGUAAUGGGUAAAGAAGCACCGGCUAACUACGUG